rnacentral:rRNA from 1 species
AAUGAACGCUGGCGGCAUGCCUAACACAUGCAAGUCGAACGAAGGCUUCGGCCUUGGUGGCGCACGGGUGCGGAACGCGUGGGAAUCUGCCCUUGGGUUCGGAAUAACAGUUAGAAAUGACUGCUAAUACCGGAUGAUGUCGUAAGACCAAAGAUUUAUCGCCCAAGGAUGAGCCCGCGUAGGUUUAGCUAGUUGGUGGGGUAAAGGCCUACCAAGGCGACGAUCCUUAGCUGGUCUGAGAGGAUGAUCAGCCACACUGGGACUGAGACACGGCCCAGACUCCUACGGGAGGCAGCAGUGGGGAAUAUUGGACAAUGGGCGAAAGCCUGAUCCAGCAAUGCCGCGUGAGUGAUGAAGGCCUUAGGGUUGUAAAGCUCUUUUAACCGGGAUGAUAAUGACAGUACCGGGAGAAUAAGCCCCGGCUAACUUCGUG